rnacentral:sRNA from 1 species
AUGGUGAUGAUGAAGAAGUUGGUGAUGACGAUGAAGAUGAUGAUGAUUAU